AGUUUUUUGACUUUGUUGUAAUAUUCAGAACUUUGGUCUUCAGAGUAGAAAAUAUCUAAUAAUCUUCAGUUCAUAGGAAUGUUACAUAAAAGGGAUUUAAUUAGAUUUAGUGUUUUUAGAAUUUAUAGUGUUGUGAUUUUGGAGUCAUUAUGUGUGUGUGUGUUUUGUGUGUAUUUGGAUCUAUAUCAUUUGAGGCAUCAAUUUUAUAGUCUAACAAUGAUUUUAUUGUUGUUUUUGUUUUUUGUUCUUGAUAGUGAAAGGAGCUAGGCUAAGAUUGAGUGUAGCAAAACCAAAGGCUGAUACUAAGAUACUUAAUGUGAAAGGCCUCCUUUUGAUUUUAAAUUUUUGUGCUUCUCUCAAACCCAGGCCUUUAUUCAGAAUCUGGAAGAAAAUGAAGAAGAAUCUUAAGCUAUAUAAUUUUUAAGAAUACCAUCAAAAUCAUAUUCUAAAUCUUGCUUUAAAAUAGAGCAAAACAUUACUUAAAUUUUUUUCAUUGUUUGUGCGUGUACAUCUGUCUCUCUCUUUUAUGUGUAUAGCAGACUUUACCUAAGUGUUAGAGUAAUGAUGAAUUGUAGAUCACUUUAGGAAACAGCUAGCCAGGCAGGGUGGUGCACACCUUUAAUCCCAACCACUCAGGAGGCUGAGGCAAGAGGAUUAAAAGUUUAAGGCCAGCCUGUGCAUUUUAGCAAGAUCAUGUCUCAAAAUAAAAGUAAACUGGAGAUAUCGCUCAAUGGAAAGUACCCCUGGGUUCAAUCCUCAGUACUGAGGGUUGGGGAGGGGGGAAUCUUAAAAUUUAGUUUUAGACAUCCCAGUUCACAAAAAGUCUUUGCCUAUUCACAUUGCCAGAUAAUUUUUUUAUUCAUUAUUUAUUGUUUUUAGUUUGGUAAAAUAUAUGCAACAAAAAUUUUAUAGUUUCAACCAUUUUUAAGUGUACAUUUCAGUAGCAUUAAAUGCAUUCAUAAUGUUACACAACCAUCACUGCUGUGUAUGUUCAGAACCUUUUCAUCAUCUCAAGCAGAAACUGUACCAACUAAACAACUUUUGCCAGGGAGGUUUUUACUGACUGAUCACUCCCACUAAGUGUCCAGAAUCUGGCAUUGUGUAUACAUUUCUUGACAGUUCAUGUCAUGCUGUGUAUACCUUAGCACAGGGCAUCAACAGUGUAACACAUUAAGCUUCCCAGAAAAUUCAGAGUGGGAAACACAUUUGUUUUCCUCUCCUGGAAUAUAUGCAGAUGUUAACAACAUUUUUUAGUGGAUUUGAAGUCUUUUUAAUAAGAAGGAGCAUAUUUAGUAGAGAAUUUGAAGGUUGGUAAUAGCCACCCCCCCUCCAAUUCUGACCCUGUCAUAUGAUAGAAGGAUGGUUUAAAUUAUUGUAAUUCCAUGAUCUGUUAGGUUCUUUUUGAGUGAUAUUUCCAUAUUAUUGUCAGCAUGGUUAAAAGGUGUAAUUAUUUAGGUUUAAGGGAAGUAUAAGUGGCUGCCAAAUUUGGCAAUAUUGAAGAAACAGCUACAUUUGUCUUUUCUAUUGUAGCUCAUGUGGAAAGGACAAUUUCAGGUACUGUGUAUGCUAACUUCUUCCUGGACAUCAGAAGGAAUCCAACUAAAACAAAUUUUAAAACUAUUUCAGAUGUGCAAGUCUCUUGAAGCCAAUAUUUUAUUUUAGAGGUUUGUGUUAUGUUUGACAAGCAACUCUGUACCGCAAUUCUAUGACUUUCAAUUAAAAAAGUGAAAAAGAAACUGCUGUGAUGUCGUUUUUCUGCUUAAUUAUGUUACAUUCAUUUGUAAAAUUAGGCAGAUUAAUAAGUGAGUAUAAAUGUGCAGUGCUUUUUGCAAAAAAUAUUUUAAAUAAGAUUAAUGGUUCCAUUUUUUGACAAAAUAUUUUAUGCUAUGCUAGAUCAACAAAUGCUGUAAUGAGCAGAUAUCAAC
rnacentral:lncRNA from 1 species